GUGUCAGCAGCCGCGGUAAUACGAACCGUACAAACGUUAUUCGGAAUCACUGGGCUUAAAGGGUGCGUAGGCGGCCAUGUAAGUGAGGUGUGAAAUCCCUCGGCUCAACCGAGGAACUGCGCUUCAUACUGCAUGGCUUGAGGGAGACAGGGGUAAGCGGAACUGAUGGUGGAGCGGUGAAAUGCGUUGAUAUCAUCAGGAACACCGGUGGCGAAAGCGGCUUACUGGGUCUCUUCUGACGCUGAGGUACGAAAGCUAGGGUAGCGAACGGGAUUAGAAACCCCCGUAGUCC
rnacentral:rRNA from 1 species